rnacentral:rRNA from 1 species
UACGUAGGGUGCAAGCGUUAAUCGGAAUUACUGGGCGUAAAGCGUGCGCAGGCGGUUUUGUAAGUUUGUCGUGAAAGCCCCGGGCUCAACCUGGGAAUUGCGAUGAAGACUGCAAGGCUUGAAUCUGGCAGAGGGGGGUAGAAUUCCGACGUGUAGCAGGUGAAAUGCGUAGAGAUGUGGAGGAAUACCGAUGGCGAAGGCAGCCCCCUGGGCCAAUACUGACGCUCAUGCACGAAAGCGUGGGGAGCAAACAGG